UACAGAGGUCCCGAGCGUUGUUCGGAUUCACUGGGCGUAAAGGGUGCGCAGGUGGGUUUGCAAGUUCGAUGUGAAAGCCCCGGGCUUAACCCGGGAAGGGCAUUGGAUACUGCAGAUCUGGAGGAUCGGAGGGGGGACUGGAAUUCUUGGUGUAGCAGUGAAAUGCGUAGAUAUCAAGAGGAACACCAGUGGCGAAGGCGAGUCCCUGGACGAUACCUGACACUGAGGCACGAAAGCCGGGGGAGCAAACAGG
rnacentral:rRNA from 1 species